rnacentral:lncRNA from 1 species
ACAUCUCAAAAAUGUGGAUAUUUUUCCAACAUAAAAACAAACAAACAAAUAAAUAAAUAAUAAUUUUAUAUAUAUAUAUAUAUAUAUAUAUAUAUAUAUAUGUAUAUAUAAUUACAAAAAUCCUACAAGGAAAGGAACACAUACUUUUUUUUUUUUUUGUCACUUAUGUUUUGUUUUGUUUUGUUUCUCAGGAAUUUUAUAUCAAAGACUGUGGAAUCCAGCAGCCCACAUAUCAGUGAAUGCUGAAACAGGAUGACCUAAGUCUGACAAACAUCAACACUCAGGUGAUAAUUACUGAAAAUACUUCGGCCAGUUCUACGCUUUCUGGUGAUAGUGACCAGUUGUUUGAAUAUCCAGGAGUAUCCUACUGAUGUGAAGACCCAAAGGCAGUAGUGAGUGCACUAGGACAGGCUGACAGAACUUGGUCUGUUUAGCCUAGAAGAGAGAAGACUGAGGGGAGACUUCAUCAAUGUGUAUAAAUAUCU